rnacentral:piRNA from 1 species
UAUGUGUGCCUUUAAUUUGGUUAGCAAGU